GGUUAGCGAUAAACUGAAAUCCAAACUGAACAGGUUCUAAUUUUAAGACAAUGGUCUUAAAUAUAUUUAAUGGUCUCGUUGCAAAAGCUAAAUUGUCGCAAGGGAACUUUUAUUUAUUUUAUUUCAACUUUAUUUAACUCGGGUAACAAAGAUUAUAGCAAACACCACUGAAGCGGAAUUGGUGCUCACUAGCUUUGCAAAUUCAGCUAUUGUUGGAAGCCAGCCAAUAUGAAACAAACUAUUAAAAUUACAAAAGGUUGCAGCAUAUGUUGUGUAAAUGGUGAACUCAUACAGCUGUCAACUCUUGUCAUUUUAAUCCGUUUCACAUUUGCUAGCUACCUUUUAGAUCGAAGUCCAUAUAGAAUGAUAGAAGAUAAGAUGAUAGAAGCCCAUCUCCUACUGUAAAUAACCUACACACUUUAGCCAGCCAGGUAGAAAAAUGGCAGAAAAAAGAAAAAAGACGGACAUCAGAGUAUUUUUCAGUACACCAAAACGCAAAGCAGAGCAGGCAACAGAUGGCACACAGACAGCAGAGUUGGGGACAGAUAUGCAGGGACAGACUGGCAGAGACAGGGAGUCUCAGAUGGGAUAGGGCAGUGUGCAGUGCGAUGGCGUGGAUCUAUUGGAGCGGUAAGCAAAUUGAAGUGGGUCUAGGGUGUCAGGUAAGGUAGAGGUGAUAUGAUCCUUGACUAGUCUCUCAAAGCACUUCAUGAUGGCAGAAGUGAGUCCUACAGGGUGAUAGUCAUUUAGUUCAGUUACCUUUGCUUUCUUGGGUACAGGAACAAUGGUGGACAUCUUGAAGCAUGUGGAGACAACAGACUGGGAUAGGGAUAUAUUGAAUAUGUCCAUAAACACUCCAGCCAGCUGGUCUGCGC
rnacentral:lncRNA from 1 species